rnacentral:rRNA from 1 species
UAUUGGACAAUGGGCGCAAGCCUGAUCCAGCCAUGCCGCGUGAGUGAUGAAGGCCUUCGGGUUGUAAAGCUCUUUUGGCGGGGACGAUGAUGACGGUACCCGCAGAAUAAGCCCCGGCUAACUUCGUGCCAGCAGCCGCGGUAAGACGAAGGGGGCUAGCGUUGUUCGGAAUUACUGGGCGUAAAGCGAGUGUAGGUGGUUGUCCAAGUUGGAUGUGAAAGCCUUGAGCUCAACUCAAGAAAUGCAUUCAGGACUGGAUGGCUAGAGGACCGGAGAGGAUAGUGGAAUUCCCAGUGUAGUGGUGAAAUACGUAGAGAUUGGGAAGAACACCAGUGGCGAAGGCGGCUUCGGACGGUUCUACACUAAGACCGAAG